CUACGGGAGGCAGCAGCAAGGAAUUUUCCGCAAUGGGCGCAAGCCUGACGGAGCAACGCCGCGUGCGGGAUGACGCCUUUCGGGGUGUAAACCGCUGUUCGGGGGGACGAAGCACUGACGGUACCCCCGGAGGAAGGCCCGGCUAACUACGUGCCAGCAGCCGCGGUAAUACGUAGGGGUCGAGCGUUGUCCGGAGUUACUGGGCGUAAAGCGUGCGCAGGCGGCGCAUCGCGCCCGACGUGAAAGCCCCCGGCCCAACCGGGGAGGGUCGUCGGGGACGGGUGCGCUUGAGGGUAUCAGGGGCUGGUGGAAUUCCCGGUGUAGUGGUGAAAUGCGUAGAGAUCGGGAGGAACACCCGUGGCGAAGGCGGCCAGCUGGGCUGGACCUGACGCUGAGGCACGAAGGCGUGGGGAGCGAACGGGAUUAGAUACCCCGGUAGUCCACGCAGUAAACGAUGCCGACUAGGCGUGGGGGGACUUGACCCCCUCCGUGCCGGAGCUAACGCGGGAAGUCUGCCGCCUGGGGAGUACGGCCGCAAGGCUGAAACUCAAAGGAAUUGACGGGGGCCCGCACAAGCGGCGGAGCAUGUUGUUUAAUUCGUCGCAACGCGAAGAACCUUAC
rnacentral:rRNA from 1 species